GUCGAGAAUCUUCCGCAAUGCGCGAAAGCGUGACGGAGCGACACCGCGUGAUGGAUGAAGUCCUUCGGGGCGUAAACAUCUUUUAUAAAGGAGGAAAUUUUUGACGUUACUUUAUGAAUAAGGGGCUCCCAAUCUCGUGCCAGCAGGAGCGGUAAUACGAGAGCCUCAAGCGUUAUCCGGAAUCAUUGGGCGUAAAGGGUGCGUAGGUGGUUGGAUUAGUCUCCCGUUAAAACUUCGAGCUUAACUCGAAAAGAGCGGGGGAAACGGUCAAACUAGAGUAUGUGAGAGGUGUGUGGAACUCAUGGUGUAGGGGUGAAAUCCGUUGAUAUCAUGGGGAACACCAAAAGCGAAGGCAGCACACUGGCACAUCACUGACACUGAGGCACGAAACCUAAGGUAGCGAAUGGGAUUAGAUACCCGGGUAGUCC
rnacentral:rRNA from 1 species